rnacentral:rRNA from 1 species
UACGUAGGUGGCAAGCGUUGUCCGGAAUUAUUGGGCGUAAAGCGCGCGCAGGCGGUCCUUUAAGUCUGAUGUGAAAGCCCACGGCUCAACCGUGGAGGGUCAUUGGAAACUGGGGGACUUGAGUGCAGGAGGAGAAGAGUGGAAUUCCACGUGUAGCGGUGAAAUGCGUAGAGAUGUGGAGGAACACCAGUGGCGAAGGCGACU